AUUACCAUAGCUCAGUUGGCAGAGCAUGAGACUCUUAACCUCCAGGUUGUGGGUUCGAGUCCCACGCUGGGCAAAA